UACGUAGGGUGCGAGCGUUAAUCGGAAUUACUGGGCGUAAAGGGCUCGUAGGCGGCCAACUAAGUCGGACGUGAAAUCCCCAGGCUCAACCUGGGAACUGCGUCCGAUACUGGAUGGCUUGAAUCCGGGAGAGGGAUGCAGAAUUCCCGGUGUAGCGGUGAAAUGUGUAGAGAUCGGGAGGAACACCGGUGGCGAAGGCGGGUCUCUGGGCAAUUCCUGACGCUGAGGCGCGAAAGCGUGGGGAGCAAACGGG
rnacentral:rRNA from 1 species